rnacentral:rRNA from 1 species
UACGUAGGGUGCAAGCGUUAUCCGGAUUCACUGGGUUUAAAGGGUGUGUAGGCGGAUAUUUAAGUCAGUGGUGAAAUCUCUGGGCUCAACUCAGAAACUGCCAUUGAUACUAUUUAUCUUGAAUAUCGUUGAGGUUGGCGGAAUAUAUCAUGUAGCGGUGAAAUGCAUAGAUAUGAUAUAGAACACCGAUUGCGAAGGCAGCUAACUAAACGAUUAUUGACGCUGAGGCACGAAAGCGUGGGGAUCAAACAGG